GUCACAAUUACAGUGAAGGCUCACCUGGGACACAUCCUUCUUAGCUUUAACACCGAAGUUAUGGAACUCCCUUGGAAGGGAGAGUAAACAGGAAGAGAUUUAUGCAGGAGGACGUGGACCAGCAAUGUCUUGAAGGCCUGAAAAGUGGUGUAUCGAAGAGCAAAAUGGUUCCUGAGCACAUCACUAGUCCUUUACUCAUAUAUAGGGCAAUCAUGGAUACAACACAGAACACCUCCAACUCUGCCCCUGAUGUUGCAUCCCCCACUGGCCUCACCUCUUUAUGUCCAUGUGUCCAGUAAGGAUCUCUGUGAACGGGCAUGUAUGGAUCCUAGUGUCUAGCUGCCACAUUCAAGGAAAACAAAUGCAGAAUGCCAAACAAGAGGAAACAUUAUAGAUGUAAUUUUGGAUUUGCAAGGAGCCUGAAACAAAGCAGUGUGAACUAUGCUAUUUGUAUCUGUAGGUGCUGAAGUGAGUGCCACUAGUGAUACUUCAAAUGUCAACAUUGCUAGCUUGUCCUGUGUCUAAAAAAUGUAAGAAAGGAAAGGGCAUAUAAUAAUGUGAAGAAUUAUAGUGACAUUUCCAUAGUGCCUGGAGCAUUGUUAUGAGCAGAGAUUGCAGGACACUUAUUUGAUGUUUAUUGGGGAGAAUGGAGAAACACUAUUUUAGUGUCAGUAAAAGCCUAAAGUGGGAAGUAUGGGAUCAGGGGCUACUGAUAAAUCCCUUUUUUGGCAAGUGUUACCUUUUGCACCUGGCAGCCCUACUUUAUCCCAGUGGUGUCACACUCCAGGUGUUCUCAGAGGCUGGUAUCCUCAGGACUGUAAAGGAAAAAAAGUGUCUGAUCCUUUACAGCAGAGAGGCAAUUACUUUGGUUAACCAUGGACUUUGGGUUGGGAUUAGGGAUAGAUGGAUCUGACAGUUUUGGUUUUUCAAUUUUUUCCAAUUUGCACCAUUUCUGCAUACUUUUGUGACUUUUUAAACAGUUCACGUGAAAUGUUGUACACAAUUUUUCCUUAAUAGAU